rnacentral:lncRNA from 1 species
GCCCAAUCAUCAUAUUUACCCAAAUUCCACAUUUAAACCAUAAACACAAGGAAUCCUCAACACAUGUACAUAAAAUCAUUUUUUUUCCCCAAAAAUCAACAUAAAAACAUACUUUUCUACUAAAUUAAAAGCUUACUUUCUUCAAAGAGAAAUGGCCAACUGGGUCGUCGAUUUUUCCUUUUUUGUCGAUACCUGAGUCGAUAGUGCUACAGUAAUUUUUCUCUUUCCUUACUAUCUUCUCUCUCUUCUUGAAAUGGUAAGGGUAAAUUUGAGUUUUUUUUUUUUCAAGAUUUUAAACAUUUUUUCAUUUUUUUAUUGGUCAAAGGCCUCUUUGAAAAAAUGGUCGGGUCAACCGGCCAAUAGCCACUAUUUCCUCUUGCGGUACAUGGAAUUGUAAACGGGUCGAGCCGCUCACAACUUGCGGAGAUCUGUUCUUUAAAGUUGUCCAUCAAUGGUAUGGACAAUUAGUUUUAAGCACAAGUAAUCGUAAGAGAAAAAAUAGAAAUAUCAAUUUAAAGUGAUUUGUCAAUUAAUCAUUGAUUGAACACCAAGUUGAACAGUCAAUUUUGAACAGUAGAUCUUAACUCCAAAGUCGUUCUUUUCUACUGAGAUAAGUCAU